rnacentral:rRNA from 1 species
GAUGGGGGAUGCAAGCGUUAUCAGGAAUCACUGGGCGUAAAGCGUCUGUAGGUGGUGAUGCAAGUCACUGGUGCAAAACUCUGGCUCAACCGGAGGAAAGCCAGUGAAACUGCAUGACUAGAGUGUGGGAGAGGUAGAAGGAAUUCCCUGAGUAGCGGUGAAAUGUGUAGAUACAGGGAAGAACACCGGAGGCGAAAGCGUUCUACUGGAACACAACUGACACUGAGAGACGAAAGCUAGGGGAGCGAAUGGG